GCUUGCUCUUCUUGGAUGAGUUGCGAACGGGUGAGUAACGCGUAGGUAACCUGCCUUGUAGCGGGGGAUAACUAUUGGAAACGAUAGCUAAUACCGCAUAACAAUGGAUGACACAUGUCAUUUAUUUGAAAGGGGCAAUUGCUCCACUAUAAGAUGGACCUGCGUUGUAUUAGCUAGUAGGUGAGGUAACGGCUCACCUAGGCGACGAUACAUAGCCGACCUGAGAGGGUGAUCGGCCACACUGGGACUGAGACACGGCCCAGACUCCUACGGGAGGCAGCAGUAGGGAAUCUUCGGCAAUGGGGGCAACCCUGACCGAGCAACGCCGCGUGAGUGAAGAAGGUUUUCGGAUCGUAAAGCUCUGUUGUAAGUCAAGAACGAGUGUGAGAGUGGAGAGUUCACACUGUGACGGUAGCUUACCAGAAAGGGACGGCUAACUACGUGCCAGCAGCCGCGGUAAUACGUAGGUCCCGAGCGUUGUCCGGAUUUAUUGGGCGUAAAGCGAGCGCAGGCGGUUUGAUAAGUCUGAAGUUAAAGGCUGUGGCUUAACCAUAGUACGCUUUGGAAACUGUUUAACUUGAGUGCAAGAGGGGAGAGUGGAAUUCCAUGUGUAGCGGUGAAAUGCGUAGAUAUAUGGAGGAACACCGGUGGCGAAAGCGGCUCUCUGGCUUGUAA
rnacentral:rRNA from 1 species